AGCCAAGAAGGUUUUUUUUUUUCUUUUUUUGCUCCCCCGACUCUGCCCCUGCAUGCACUCUAUUUAAAAGUUUGAAAAGGAAGAUACCUAUGAGGCUAGAUAUAUCCUUAAUUGGAUAGAAUUCAAUGGCAGCAUACAUGAUCACAUUCGCAUGCAAAAAAUGCCCAUGCAUUGAACCAAAACAUAGCUUCCUGA